GGGUGCGAUCAUAUCAGCACUAAAGCACCGAAUCCCUCAGAACUCUAAAGUUAAGUGUGCUUGGGCGAGAGUAGUACCAAGAUGGAUGACCCCUUGGGAAGUCCUUGUGUUGCAAUUU
rnacentral:rRNA from 1 species